ACCACUGAAGGCUUUUUGUUAGUCACAGUUGCAAGUCCUUCUCGUAUUUCUUAAACGUAGGAAGCAUACUUGUAGGUUUCUUAGUAUUUGAAGUUUAUAGGUUUAUGUCGUCUGCUGUUCCUGUUGGCUCUCAGUCACGGUUUCUGGAACUUCUUUGAGUCAGUCACUCAGUCUGGCGGUACCCAACUCAUCAAAACACUACCCAAGGUAAAAUCCGACUCCAGCUGAAUUGAGGUCAUAGCCCUACUAUAGAACGUCGGAGCUGUUGGAGAGUUUCCAUUUAUCUGCUGGAAGUGCUUCCUCCUGGUUUAUCCUUGAAGUCAUUGGACUGCUGACAAAAGAAGUUCCUGGACUUUUGUUUGGCAGAUGACCAUUAAUUUGACAGAGUAUGUGGAUGCUACAUAUAGACUAAGGGUCUGUCACUACAUAGAUCACAUUUCUUGGAAAAGAUGGCAUUCAGUAAAGUCCUGAGGUCCUUGGAGAAAUACUUAUUUUUAGCAAGUAGCAGGCAAGCAGAAUGGACUGAUGGCUUCUCUACUCCCUGUUCACCUUCCCACAAAAGUCCUGACCUGCAGCACAAUGGCCAAGAGCCCCAAAGGAGGAAUCAUAAAGAGAAGACGAAAUUCUGGUUAAUUCAGAAAUUGCCCAGUCAGCUACUGGAAUAAUUGAAAGUGAGCUAUAACAAAUCUGGUUUCCAUCUCAGGCACGAAUAAUGCUGGGCAUCAACUUUCUCUUUUUUUUUUUUUUUUCUGUCUCAAAACCAUUCCCAACUGUAAGAUUUCUAUUACUUUAAAAAUAAUCCAAUAAAGAAUAAAUGUGUAUCAUUUUUUGGUCCCCAAUACCUGGUGUGUCAUCUAGAAAAAUA